rnacentral:tRNA from 1 species
GUCUUCGUCGCGCAAUCGGCUAGCGCGUUCGGCUGUUAACUGAAAGGUUGGUGGUUCAAGCCCACCCGGGGACG